GAUGUGGCAUGUUCCUGGACUUUGGGAAUGUGAGCACAACUAGCGCAAACCGUGGGGACUGGCUAACCGAGGAGGUGGAACUCAAUGCUAAAGGAGGCAGAGAUGAUCGCAACUAUCUAUGGGUAUUGCUGAAAAUGCGGUCCGAAAACCCGUUUCUAUCCCUGGUCCUGCCCAGUAUACUAAUCAUCUUGGCUGAUGUAGGCAGCUUCGCCCUGCCGCUGGGAGAGAGUAAGCGCAUCCCCUUCAAGGUUAAACUGGUUCUCAGCUUCAUCAUGUUCCUCAACAUCCUCAAGGACCUUCUGCCUGGAGGAGGCCAGUGCAGCCCCAUCAUCCGCCAUGGAAGAACUGGGAAAUGUUCAGCUUCCAGGAAUUGUGUACAGAUUCUUGCGACAUGGGGCAGUACAUUAUCAUUCUGAAGCAUGGUGAUGGCGGUGGAUGAAUGGCACGACAAUGGGCCUCAGGAUCUCGUCACGGAAAGCACUUCUGUUUCUGUUUGGUCAUCCUGGUGUUGAGCACGUUGCAGUCUAUGGUGCUCACACGCCUGGCUAAGUGUGGCACUCUCUGGCCCUGCAGCCUCUCCAAGUCCAAAGACUCACUGCUUAAAGACACAGACAAUGAAGACGACUCCAAGUUUGAUUUUAAAGCCUCAGAGGAAGAGAAGAAUACAGCCCUCCAGAAGGUGGUGAAGUUUCUCAACAAAAUGGCUGCACAAGACCAGAAAAAUGCUAUACACCAUCGCUUUGCCAACAAAGUGGACUUGAUCUGUUUCUGUAUCUAUCUCACCAUCCUCAUUGUUUACUCAUUCAUCAUUUUAUUUUUCUCCUUUGGUUCUCGAUGUGAGAUCGACCAUUUACAAUUCUGGCAUUAAAUUCUGUAUUUGCGUUUAACAAUGAUAUUUAAAUAAAUAUAAAGUGUGUACUCUUCAGUAGAGAUUUAACAAUAUUUAUUUCAAUAUGUUUGAGCUAAGAAUUAAAUUGAUUAGGACUAUGCAUCCUACCUAUGAAAUACCUCUGCAUAUCUAUCCAUUUUCCAUUCUUCCUGUGCCAUCCAAAUUCCUGCAUAGCCUACUGGUCAACGUACUGUAGUCAAAAAUAAUGCGAACGAUGACGUUCAGUGAUGAAGAUACGUCUAGCAACUUGCUGGUGCCGAGGCCCAGCAUGAUGACUCAAU
ensembl:lncRNA